CUCCACUCCACGCCACCAGGGAAACAGAUCGGGGUCACGGACGAGUGCGAGAACCUGAGCACAAGAGAACUGCGAGCUUUGUGGAUAUCAUCUGCAGGUGCACGUACUGGGAGUACUGGACACAGUGCAUGUACAGCCAGCUUGCAGCCACUUUGCCACCACUUUAGGACAAUGUUUACAGUAGACUGAGCCACACUGACUGUGAGCAGUCAUUGUGCUGCUGCAUGGCUGAUGGCACUGUCCCUGCAGCUGUCAGGGACAACAAGAACCACUCAGCUACCUCAGCCAAGCCAA